GGCUCAGGGAGAGUAAGGGAAGGGCUUCUGGGGCUAGCCCCAGAUGCUACACUCUUUCUUCUUUCCCUAUACCAUGGCCACGUCUCUGAAGAGUCUCUUUCUCAUGAACUCUCCUCCUACUUCACAAUUUGAGUGUGCCAUUAUUUUCGACUGGGACUUUGCUAUAUCUAUGAAAGAAUAUCAGGAUGCCCUCUCUCUGGACCUUGCUUCCGAGCAGCAGUUGCUACAGGGCCCUAUUUGUACAUUUCCAGGAUCGAUGUAGGAAGAAGUACAUUGCUGUGUGUUUGUAACUCAGGCCAUCAUUUGAGGGUGCCAUUUUCCUUUUUCUUGAUAACCCCUUGGCAACUUUCCCUCCUCUACUGAGAGCAGUCUUGUUGGAGCUGUCAGUCAACGGACCCUGAGAUCCAAGCCCAGGGCAGCUGAGCCAAACUAGGCCCAUGGAAUUCUCUCACCCAGAAAACUGACUCUUCAGCCCAGUUAUUGCAAUGAAGGAAAGUGGCCAUUGCAGAGCCCUAAAAAUAAAGUUCAUAGUUUCUACCUGGAUCCCAGACUUACUCUGGUUCUCAGCUUUUUCAUGCUUGAUUCUUUUUAGUUUUUCCUUCAGUUCUGUAGACUAUCUCAUACCCUUACAAUAAAAUGUUUUGCUUGUUAUCCAGAAUCAG
rnacentral:lncRNA from 1 species